UAUUUCACUGUUUAGAUCUGUGUCAUCUGUGGUUAUUACAAUGUUUCGAUUACUCUUUCUCUGUAUUAUUUUAUCUGUGGUGUUGUCACAAAGAUUCAAAAAGAUCUACACACCUGUAAGAGAUGUACGAUUCCCACAGGUUGCCCCGUUUUCUCUACAGCAGCGUCCUCCUUUCUGGCAAGUUGGUGUAGAAGGAAAUGUACAACUAAGGGAUGACAUAUGGAUACUUUGAAGAAAAAAAAUUGGCAAGAAAAUAAGCGGUCAAUGGCUAUGGCAAACGGAUAAUGAACUUUUCGAAAAUCUAUAGAUUACUUUUUCUUCAGAAGAAAGGCUUUUUUCUGUUUAAAUCCUGCCCUUUCUGUCCAAAAUA